rnacentral:rRNA from 2 species
UGGAAGUAAAAAGUCGUAACAAGGUCUCCGUUGGUGAACCAGCGGAGGGAUCAUUACCGAGUUUACAACUCCCAAACCCCUGUGAACAUACCAAUUGUUGCCUCGGCGGAUCAGCCCGCUCCCGGUAAAACGGGACGGCCCGCCAGAGGACCCCUAAACUCUGUUUCUAUAUGUAACUUCUGAGUAAAACCAUAAAUAAAUCAAAACUUUCAACAACGGAUCUCUUGGUUCUGGCAUCGAUGAAGAACGCAGCAAAAUGCGAUAAGUAAUGUGAAUUGCAGAAUUCAGUGAAUCAUCGAAUCUUUGAACGCACAUUGCGCCCGCCAGUAUUCUGGCGGGCAUGCCUGUUCGAGCGUCAUUUCAACCCUCAAGCCCUCGGGUUUGGUGUUGGGGAUCGGCGAGCCCUUGCGGCAAGCCGGCCCCGAAAUCUAGUGGCGGUCUCGCUGCAGCUUCCAUUGCGUAGUAGUAAAACCCUCGCAACUGGUACGCGGCGCGGCCAAGCCGUUAAACCCCCAACUUCUGAAUGUUGACCUCGGAUCAGGUAGGAAUACCCGCUGAACUUAAGCAUAUCAAUAAAGCGGAGG